CAGAAAUCCUUCCAGCAUUAUAAACACGGGUGUCGAAUUCUCCAGGGCGAACAAAGGGGUCGUGCUUGGGUGCAGGGUGCUAUUCGAUCCCUUAGAACGGGGAUAAACAGUCCUGGAAGGUGGAUUUGAACUUCCUUCCAUUAUUAAGGUUUUCCUGCAGAAUCCAAUCUGUGUAAUGGAAGAAUAUAUUUUGUUGACUGGCAUCUUAGAUCUUUAUAGCAUUUGCAAAAUUAUUUUGAACUUUCUUCCUCUAAUUGUAAUCACUUUAACCAAUAAUCCUAAGAACUCAGGGAGAAUCAAAAUACUAAUGUCUCUUCAUAUCUCCUGUGCCCUCCUGUCCUCUCAGCCACCCAGAGUGUACGCAAGCACAGCUGUGGGGUCCCUUGGAGCUUCCGGGGUGCAAUUCUGAGGGUCAGAUGGGUGUCGGCUGCUGUGGCGGUCCAUCUACCAGGCGCUGUUUUCUAUGGGAGGAGAGACUUCAGCCCCCAAGUGCUGUCCAAGGACAGCCCCAGGACUGUGACCAGGGCCUUCCUGCCCUCACGCCACCUGACCCACAGUGGAGGCUGCAGCUGCUGCUUGGCCCAGGGGGUGGCCCGUGGGCACUCAUGAAACAAACCCACUAUCCCGGGCGUUUCUGGGGUGACCUUCUCUGGGGCUGAGUCGGGUUUGAUGCCCGUGGUCACUGUGCCUGCCAGUAUUUGUGAGAUGAGGGGUGUGCACGGCUGAGACAGAAGGAGGUCUGUGGGAUCAGCAGAACCAGCGAAACCCUCCAGGUGUCGUCAUCAAGUCCCGCUGUCUCCUCUCUCCUGGGUGGCUCGCAAACGUCAACAGGCUCACGAGAUGAUGGGGCUGAAUUAUUUCUGGGUCUCCGUUUAAGGCUCUGCAGGAAAAGGAAUACUGGCUGCUGGGUGCACACUGAGUUUGGGGCAGUAUGGCACGGACACAGCUAGGAACAGGUGGGGCCUGUGCAUUUCUCUGCAGGCUGACGUGACGUCCAGGCACCCAGGGGCUGAACAGUGCCAGGCUCUUGUGAGUCCAGCGUGAGAAGCACGGAGAUGAUCAAGAUGGGUGCAGCACAGGCCCUGAACGCAGAACGCACCAUGCAAGACACAAACGCUGCGGGGCUCUGCACGGGAGGCACCAGCCGUAUCAGUGAAGAACCGGCUCAUCUCUAAGGGAUGACUGAUGCUGAAAUGUGAUAACCAUAAUUCCAAUAGGUCAACCGCACUGAUGAAGCACCAGGAGAGGCUGCAGUUGACACAGUGCACCCGGCGAAAGCGUAGCCUGAUUUACUGGGAACUUUCCACCUUCCAUGGCAGGGGAAUCACUGCCAGUUUGGCCUUGUAUUAAGAGAUAUAAUUCCAUAGGCUGGCAUAGCUCAAAGGCACAAGCACCAAUAAUUAAUCUGAAUACAGAAAGCAAAAGAGGAUGUGGGGAGGGUGGAAUUCGAUGUGGGGAGAUCGUCACUGUAGCUGCUUCUCCGUCUUGCUAAAGCAACUGUCCAGACUGUCUAUGAGCAAACUGUCUGAGCCUGAACCUGUAUCCGCCAGAUGCACCUGCAGCAUGUGUGAUCAUGGAGGGUCAGUUUGCAAAGGAUUUUAGGGGUAUUACUGUUAUGCCAAAGCUAAUUAAAUAAGAAAAUCACCAGUAAGAGUUUCCAAGGUGGAGAUGUUUUCCUCUGUUAAUACCUCCGCAAAGUCC
rnacentral:lncRNA from 1 species